rnacentral:rRNA from 1 species
AUACGGAGGAUGCAAGCGUUAUCCGGAUUUAUUGGGUUUAAAGGGUGCGUAGGCGGUUUGCUAAGCGGGAGGUGAAAUGCCGGCGCUCAACGUCGGAAGUGCCUCCCGAACUGGUGGACUGGAAUGACUCUGCCGUGGGAGGAAUGUGUAGUGUAGCGGUGAAAUGCUUAGAGAUUACACAGAACACCGAUUGCGAAGGCAUCUCACGAAGGGUUGAUUGACGCUGAGGCACGAAAGCGUGGGGAUCAAACAGGAUUAGAUACCCUGGUAGUCCACGCAGUAAACGAUGAUGGCUAACCGCUGGGCUUAUCAGUUCAGUGGCCAAGCGAAGGCGAUAAGCCAUCCACCUGGGGAGUACGACCGCAAGGUUGAAACUCAAAGGAAUUGACGGGG